rnacentral:rRNA from 1 species
GCUUGCUUUUCGCUGACGACCGGCGCACGGGUGCGUAACGCGUAUACAAUCUGCCUCUUACUGGAGUAUACCCCAGAGAAAUUUGGAAUAAUCCUCCAUAAUAUCAUUUUAAGGCAUCUUUGAGUGAUUAAAGCUUCGGCGGUAAGAGAUGAGUAUGCGUCCUAUUAUCUAGAUGGUAAGGUAACGGCUUACCAUGGCAACGAUAGGUAGGGGUCCUGAGAGGGAGAUCCCCCACACUGGUACUGAGACACGGACCAGACUCCUACGGGAGGCAGCAGUGAGGAAUAUUGGGCAAUGGACGGAAGUCUGACCCAGCCAUGCCGCGUGCAGGAUGACUGCCCUAUGGGU